UACAGAGGUCUCAAGCGUUGUUCGGAUUCAUUGGGCGUAAAGGGCGCGUAGGCGGCCUUCUAAGUCGAACGUGAAAUCCCCGGGCUCAACCCGGGAACUGCGUCCGAUACUGGGAGGCUUGAAUCCGGGAGAGGGAUGUGGAAUUCCAGGUGUAGCGGUGAAAUGCGUAGAUAUCUGGAGGAAUACCGGUGGCGAAGGCGGCAUCCUGGACCGGCAUUGACGCUGAUGAGCGAAAGCUAGGGAGCAACGGGA
rnacentral:rRNA from 1 species